GACGGAGGGUGCUAGCGUUGUUCGGAAUUACUGGGCGUAAAGGGCGCGUAGGCGGCCGCUCAAGUCGGGUGUGAAAGCCCGGGGCUCAACCCCGGAACUGCACUCGAGACUGUGUGGCUGGAGAUCGGAAGAGGAGAGUGGAACACCCAGUGUAGAGGUGAAAUUCGUAGAUAUCGAGAGGAACACCGGUGGCGAAGGCGGCGAUCUGGACGAUGACUGACGCUGAGACGCGAAAGCGUGGGGAGCAAACAGG
rnacentral:rRNA from 1 species